GGGUUGUGAGGUUAAGCGACUAAGCGUACACGGUGGAUGCCCUGGCAGUCAGAGGCGAUGAAGGACGUGCUAAUCUGCGAUAAGCGUCGGUAAGGUGAUAUGAACCGUUAUAACCGGCGAUUUCCGAAUGGGGAAACCCAGUGUGAUUCGUCACACUAUCAUUAACUGAAUCCAUAGGUUAAUGAGGCGAACCGGGGGAACUGAAACAUCUAAGUACCCCGAGGAAAAGAAAUCAACCGAGAUUCCCCCAGUAGCGGCGAGCGAACGGGGAGCAGCCCAGAGCCUGAAUCAGUGUGUGUGUUAGUGGAAGCGUCUGGAAAGGCGCGCGAUACAGGGUGACAGCCCCGUACACAAAAAUGCACAUGCUGUGAGCUCGAUGAGUAGGGCGGGACACGUGGUAUCCUGUCUGAAUAUGGGGGGACCAUCCUCCAAGGCUAAAUACUCCUGACUGACCGAUAGUGAACCAGUACCGUGAGGGAAAGGCGAAAAGAACCCCGGCGAGGGGAGUGAAAAAGAACCUGAAACCGUGUACGUACAAGCAGUGGGAGCACGCUUCGGCGUGUGACUGCGUACCUUUUGUAUAAUGGGUCAGCGACUUAUAUUCUGUAGCAAGGUUAACCGAAUAGGGGAGCCGAAGGGAAACCGAGUCUUAACUGGGCGUUAAGUUGCAGGGUAUAGACCCGAAACCCGGUGAUCUAGCCAUGGGCAGGUUGAAGGUUGGGUAACACUAACUGGAGGACCGAACCGACUAAUGUUGAAAAAUUAGCGGAUGACUUGUGGCUGGGGGUGAAAGGCCAAUCAAACCGGGAGAUAGCUGGUUCUCCCCGAAAGCUAUUUAGGUAGCGCCUCGUGAAUUCAUCUCCGGGGGUAGAGCACUGUUUCGGCAAGGGGGUCAUCCCGACUUACCAACCCGAUGCAAACUGCGAAUACCGGAGAAUGUUAUCACGGGAGACACACGGCGGGUGCUAACGUCCGUCGUGAAGAGGGAAACAACCCAGACCGCCAGCUAAGGUCCCAAAGUCAUGGUUAAGUGGGAAACGAUGUGGGAAGGCCCAGACAGCCAGGAUGUUGGCUUAGAAGCAGCCAUCAUUUAAAGAAAGCGUAAUAGCUCACUGGUCGAGUCGGCCUGCGCGGAAGAUGUAACGGGGCUAAACCAUGCACCGAAGCUGCGGCAGCGACACUAUGUGUUGUUGGGUAGGGGAGCG
rnacentral:rRNA from 1 species